AUGGUCCACUUUGCCGGGCUUUUUCCUCACAUCCCAGCGGAGGAGGAGGAUGGAGUUUUUUGGGGGGCAGCGCCUCUUCCUGGGGCUCCCUCCAAGUUUGGGAUUUCGGGGGAAACUUGGCUCCUCCCCCCUCUCGCCCCCUUUUAUUAUUGUUCCCCGUGUGUGCGCAUCUCCAAGUGUUUGGGACUCCAAGAUAAUCUGGAUUCAGAAACUGGAUUUUAUGACAGUGUAGAUCCAGCUAGUCUUUCCAUGCUCUUCGCCGUUUCCUGCUGUUUUUGGCUUCACCAAGCAUCAUUGUCUUUUUUCGUGAGCCAUAUCUUUAGGCAAAGAGAGGUGGCAACCCCUUGGAAGCAGAUCCUAAAAGACAGCUGGAGAAAGGAGAAGGAGCGACUUGAAAAACUGGAAAUCGCUUCUAGUGUGGGAGAAUUGGCCGUCUGCAAGGAUGUUGCCCAGGGGAUGCCUGGAUGUUUGUUGUUUUUACCAUCCUUGUGGAAGGCUUCUCAUGUGUCCUCGCAUGGUGAGCUGGAGCUGACAGAAGGAGCUCAUCCAUGCUCUCCCUGGAUUUGAACUGGCAACCUUCAGGUCAGCAACCCAACCUUCAGGUCAGCAGUCCUGCCGGCACAAGGGUUUAACCCAUCGCACCACCUUAUGAAAAGGAUGCAAGUAAAUGAUGAUUAUCCUGGGACCACCAAAUACAAUCCAAUAAAUUGUUUCAUUGGAAGAUCUCUGGGUUUUUGUUUUUGUUUUAUAAAUCAAAAUCAAACCAUACAUUUUCAAAAAUAAUAUAUCCAAGAAAUGGCUCGUUUAAAGCCUAUAGGCAGAGCUUGAAAAGAAAAAACCUUUCUUUGUUUGGACCACAACUUCUAUUGUCCAUGCUGUUUGGGGGAUACUGCGAAUGGUAAUACCAACUGUGACUUUUCUAAGCUACGGUCCACAAUGAGCCAGGUUAAAGCAAAUGAAAAUUCAUGUUUUCUUCCUUCACGCUCUGGUCACCUGAAUUUUACAAGAUGGGUCACAACAUUAACUUCCCCCAGUUUCAUAUUCACAUGUGUUCUUCUUUCUAAUAUUUCCAAUGUGAAAUAAAGUUGUUUAGAACAAAAUCAGCAAAGCAGGGACUUCUGAGACAAUAUUCACAACUCUGUAUGCACCCCAACUAUGAUACACAGAAACAACACCCUGUAAAUAAUGUUUACAUGCAACAAUCUAAUAAUACAUACAAUAACCCAAUAAUGUUUUUAAAAAGAGCUGUGUGUCACAGUUGGGGAAUAUGUCGCCCUCCCAAUGUUGUUGGACUACAACUCCUAUUGAUGUCAAGCAUUGCCCCCCCUCCCUCCC
rnacentral:lncRNA from 1 species